GCUUAUGGAAAUUUAGUAGUAAAUACGCUGGAUUCAAAAUCCAGUUCUUUCGGGAGUGUGGGUUCGAUUCCCACCUUGAGUA
rfam:Lutibacter sp. LPB0138, complete genome.